rfam:Saccharomyces cerevisiae FostersO chromosome IV FOSTERSO_c4_15, whole genome shotgun sequence.
UUCCUCGUGGCCCAAUGGUCACGGCGUCUGGCUACGAACCAGAAGAUUCCAGGUUCAAGUCCKGGCGGGGAAG